CACGUAGGGCGCAAGCGUUGUCCGGAAUUAUUGGGCGUAAAGAGCUCGUAGGCGGUCUGUUGCGUCCGCUGUGAAAUCUCGGGGCUUAACCCCGAGCCUGCAGUGGAUACGGGCAGACUAGAGGUAGGUAGGGGAGAAUGGAAUUCCUGGUGUAGCGGUGAAAUGCGCAGAUAUCAGGAGGAACACCGAUGGCGAAGGCAGGUCUCUGGGCCACUACUGACGCUGAGAAGCGAAAGCAUGGGGAGCGAACAGG
rnacentral:rRNA from 1 species